ACUUCUCAGAUCAUCACUACAGCGUUUGCAGCUUUCCAGCUCAUCAUGCUGAACUGAAGACAAGACGAGGGGAAAAUCAAGGGGCAUCCACAUUAAUCUGGAUAAAGGCUGCUUCUUCAGCCACAGCUAAGGUGCAUGUAAUAGGAAUGAGAGCCACCUGUGUUUCAGAAAGCGUCUGGGAUUUUAGAGCUGCUUGUAACUGCAGCCUAACACAGCCUCAGCCGACUGAUACAUCCAGUGUCGUCAAAACAGAGCAGAGCCAGAAACUGGAAGCAGCUCAGACGUCCAUCAAAGGAAGACGAAUUCAUGAACUGCGGUAUAUUUAUAUGAUGGAAUACCACACAAUAAGAAGGGACAAGCUACUGACAUAUGCAACAACAUGGAUGAAUCUCAGAAACAAUGUAUUGAACAGAAGAAGCCAGAUAAAAAAGAUACUGUGUGAUUCCACUUAUAUUUCAAGAACAGGCAAAGCAACUCUGUGGCAACAGAGGUCAGAACAGUGUUUAUCUGUAGUGUCCAGGUCAGUGGUUACUGGGUAAAUACAUGGGGAAUAUUUUUGGAUGUUGAAAAUGUUC
rnacentral:lncRNA from 1 species